rnacentral:rRNA from 1 species
UCUUGGCCAGCCUUCUGAAAGGAAGAUUAAUACAAGAUGGCAUCAUGAGUCCGCAUGUUCACAUGAUUAAAGGUAUUCCGGUAGACGAUGGGGAUGCGUUCCAUUAGAUAGUAGGCGGGGUAACGGCCCACCUAGUCUUCGAUGGAUAGGGGUUCUGAGAGGAAGGUCCCCCACAUUGGAACUGAGACACGGUCCAAACUCCUACGGGAGGCAGCAGUGAGGAAUAUUGGUCAAUGGGCGAGAGCCUGAACCAGCCAAGUAGCGUGAAGGAUGACUGCCCUAUGGGUUGUAAACUUCUUUUAUAAAGGAAUAAAGUCGGGUAUGGAUACCCGUUUGCAUGUACUUUAUGAAUAAGGAUCGGCUAACUCCGUGCCAGCAGCCGCGGUAAUACGGAGGAUCCGAGCGUUAUCCGGAUUUAUUGGGUUUAAAGGGAGCGUAGAUGGAUGUUUAAGUCAGUUGUGAAAGUUUGCGGCUCAACCGUAAAAUUGCAGUUGAUACUGGAUAUCUUGAGUGCAGUUGAGGCAGGCGGAAUUCGUGGUGUAGCGGUGAAAUGCUUAGAUAUCACGAAGAACUCCGAUUGCGAAGGCAGCCUGCUAAGCUGCAACUGACAUUGAGGCUCGAAAGUGUGGGUAUCAAACAGGAUUAGAUACCCUGGUAGUCCACACGGUAAACGAUGAAUACUCGCUGUUUGCGAUAUACUGCAAGCGGCCAAGCGAAAGCGUUAAGUAUUCCGCCUGGGGAGUACGCCGGCAACGGUGAAACUCAAAGGAAUUGACGGGGGCCCGCACAAGCGGAGGAACAUGUGGUUUAAUUCGAUGAUACGCGAGGAACCUUACCCGGGCUUAAAUUGCAGAUGAAUUACGGUGAAAGCCGUAAGCCGCAAGGCAUCUGUGAAGGUGCUGCAUGGUUGUCGUCAGCUCGUGCCGUGAGGUGUCGGCUUAAGUGCCAUAACGAGCGCAACCCUUGUUGUCAGUUACUAACAGGUUUCGCUGAGGACUCUGACAAGACUGCCAUCGUAAGAUGUGAGGAAGGUGGGGAUGACGUCAAAUCAGCACGGCCCUUACGUCCGGGGCUACACACGUGUUACAAUGGGGGGUACAGAGGGCCGCUACCAC